AAGUCGUAACAAGGUUUCCGUAGGUGAACCUGCGGAAGGAUCAUUAACACUUACUGUUUAAAGUUUAACUUUAAAAAUUAAACUUCAAACAUGUAUUUCAACAAACUCGUGCUCCUUUUUUUUCCAAACCUUUAACUAUUUUAAAUUUAUCUUUUAGCAGUUUUUCGUUUUUUAGCUUUUUUUGUUUUUCAAACAGAAACACUAAUAACGGAAAUGUAUGUAAUAACAAUGUUAAUAGUAUUUUUUAUAUGUACAUUAUAUGUGUACAGAUAAGAAUAGCUAUAAACAGAGUUGAACAAACAACUGUUAACAAUGGAUAUCUAGGCUCUC
rnacentral:misc_RNA from 1 species